GAUGAACGCUGGCGGCGUGCCUAAUACAUGCAAGUCGAGCGAACGGACGAGAAGCUUGCUUCUCUGAUGUUAGCGGCGGACGGGUGAGUAACACGUGGAUAACCUACCUAUAAGACUGGGAUAACUUCGGGAAACCGGAGCUAAUACCGGAUAAUAUUUUGAACCGCAUGGUUCAAAAGUGAAAGACGGUCUUGCUGUCACUUAUAGAUGGAUCCGCGCUGCAUUAGCUAGUUGGUAAGGUAACGGCUUACCAAGGCAACGAUGCAUAGCCGACCUGGGAGGGUGAUCGGCCACACUGGAACUGAGACACGGUCCAGACUCCUACGGGAGGCAGCAGUAGGGAAUCUUCCGCAAUGGGCGAAAGCCUGACGGAGCAACGCCGCGUGAGUGAUGAAGGUCUUCGGAUCGUAAAACUCUGUUAUUAGGGAAGAACAUAUGUGUAAGUAACUGUGCACAUCUUGACGGUACCUAAUCAGAAAGCCACGGCUAACUACGUG
rnacentral:rRNA from 1 species